rnacentral:rRNA from 1 species
GCUGCAUGGUUGUCGUCAGCUCGUGUCGUGAGAUGUACGGUUAAGUCCGUGAACGAGCGCAACCCCUGCCCUUAGUUGCUAAUAUGCGAAAGCAUAUGCACUCUAAGGGGACCGCCAGCGGAAAGCUGGAGGAAGGUGGGAUGACGUCAAAUCCUCAUGGCCUUUAUGUCCAGGGCUACACACAUGCGACAAUGGUCGAGACAACGCGUUGCAAACCAGUAAUGGUAAGCUAAUCGCAUAAAAUCGACCUCAGUACGGAUUGAGGGUUGCAAUUCACCCUCAUGAAGCUGGAGUUGCUAGUAACCGCAGGUCAGCUAUACUGCGAUGAAUACGUUCCCGGGGCUU